CAAGAACCGAGGGCAGGUCAGGGCGGGAGUGGGUUGACAGCUGUGUGCUAUUCAGCUUUUACCAAGUAUUGGGUGAAAUGCACUAAAUUUAAACGGGAACUCCUGGUCGCUAUUUCCCUGCUUGGCUGGAGGAGGUACUGACGCAGACAUCAGAUAACUGAUAUUGAAACGAGAAUUCACAGUUCUUUACUGACACCUUCAAAAAGCCACCUAAGACACGCAGUUCUCUUGGAAGCCACUUCCUUUGACCUUCGUGGCCCAGUGUCUCCAAAACCAGUAUCUGUUGAAAAAUCAGAAGAUUCAGCAAUACUAGGCGCACCACCCCUGAUGAAAAAAUCCUCCUGGAUCCAGGAUGAAGCAAACUGCUUCACGAGAAGCCCUAGAGAAGAACACACAGGUAUGAGCAAAAUAUUUGAAUUCUGUCAUUUAAACUUUCAUCAUGAAAGAACCAUGCAGGCUGACUUUAAGCCUUUGCGUGUGCUGCUCCUGUUGACAGGCCGUUGACCACAGCUUUCUAUGUAUCUUUCCAUUUUGUUGUCAUUCUUCUAUUUGUUUUCAUGAAAGUAUGUUUGUCAAGGUAGGAGGUAGGAGGAUAGAAUACAUGUUAUCUUGUACUUUGCUGGCUUGAUUUGUUCCUUUGCAAUAUUUAGAUACACAAAAGAUGGACUUUUGUUUCUAUUGAGGCAGACCCAGUAAAGUUAGGGGCAAGUCUAGUGCUGAGCACCUAAAUGAAGAUUUAAAUAUUUGCUGACUGAUUGGUGUGUAACUGGAACAAAGGCAAAAGGAUUUUUAAAAAAAGGAUAUUUAAAAAUUUUGAAUUCCCGUUCACCCCAUUGCUUAGGUCUCAGCCUGAGUCUCAGGGUAAUCUCAGUGAAAUUCCCUGGCUGGGAUGACCAGGGCAGCUGGUUGGUUGUGAGUCAACAGGUAAUGUCUCAUUUGUGCUAACAAAAACCAUGUGACUACAUCCCCCAUGUCAAACCUCUGUAGUUGGGGGUCUCAUUGCCAAGUCUAUGGAAUUCUGCCUACCAUUUUAAGAAGUAGCUUAUUUGAGCAGUACCGAUUAUCUUUUAUUUCACACUUGUGAACUUAGGAAGCUCCUGGACCUGUUGACUCAAGAGAAUGUCAAAACUGACUUGAAAUCUUUCUCUCUAUAAAUCACAAUAGGAAAUUCUGUAUUAUCAUUGGAUAGCUAACUAAUAUGUAUUAAGUGAAUAUGCCAUGUUGCAUGUUAUAUUGGGCUCCAUGCAA
rnacentral:lncRNA from 1 species